ACGGCCCUUGCGAGCGCAUACCAAGCACGUAUACACGGCGUCCCGUUUCUAUCGCGUAAUUAUCACACGACGAUCGCAGAACAGUCCGCAACAGCGAUCGCGCGGGUGAGAUGCUCAAUAACUUCCGAAUUAUGAGCGAUUAGAAACGAACUGGGAAGUAAACUACGCUUCAAAGAGGAGAACUGCGUUCCUCGGCUAUUUCAAAAUAAUACGGCGAAAAAUGUCUUGUUUGGACUUCGUAUUUUCAAUGCCUCACGAAUAUCAUGAGAUGCUCGAUAAUUUCCGAAUUAUGAGCGAUUGGAAACGAACAGAUUGGAGAGUAAAGUGCUUCAAGGAGGAGAACUGCGUUCGGCCAUUUCCAAAUUUUCUAUUGCAGAAUAAUAUGGUGGAAAAUGUCUUGUUUGGACUCGUCUUAAUUAAUAGUUUGUUCUUUGUAACUGAAGUCUAGCUAUGUAUUAGCUUGUACUCUCUUUCCUUUUACAGCAAAUUACAGCUAUAUCUUUUCUUUUACAAUAAAUCACAACUAUAUACCUGUUCUUUUUUAAGUUUCGAAAAUAUGCACUAGUUUAGCUAGAAUCUUAUAUCGAUUUAAUUCUUAGCUAUACUAUAAAUUUUACUUUGUACAGUCCAAUGAUUAUUUUGAUUUUUAGCAAACUUUUAGGUGAGAUAGGUAAAAUAAAAAGU